rnacentral:rRNA from 1 species
AACGAACGCUGGCGGCAGGCCUAACACAUGCAAGUCGAACGAGUAAGAGCCGUAGCAAUACGGAGUUCUACUAGUGGCGCACGGGUGAGUAACGCGUGGGAACGUGCCUUGGAGUUCGGGAUAACAGUUGGAAACGACUGCUAAUACCGAAUAUUCCCUCAGGGGGAAAGAUUUAUCGCUCCAAGAUCGGCCCGCGUAAGAUUAGGUAGUUGGUGGGGUAAUGGCCUACCAAGCCUACGAUCUUUAGCUGGUCUGAGAGGACGACCAGCCACACUGGAACUGAGACACGGUCCAGACUCCUACGGGAGGCAGCAGUGGGGGAAUAUUGGACAAUGGGCGAAAGCCUGAUCCAGCCAUGCCGCGUGAAUGAUGAAGGCCUUAGGGUUGUAAAAUUCUUUUGCAGGGAAGAUAAUGACGGUACCCUGCGAAUAAGCUCCGGCUAACUUCGUGCCAGCAGCCGCGGUAAU